AACGAACGCUGGCGGCAUGCCUAACACAUGCAAGUCGAACGAGACCUUCGGGUCUAGUGGCGCACGGGUGCGUAACGCGUGGGAACCUGCCCUUAGGUUCGGAAUAACUCCCCGAAAGGGGUGCUAAUACCGGAUAAUGUCUUCGGACCAAAGAUUUAUCGCCUUUGGAUGGGCCCGCGUUGGAUUAGCUAGUUGGUAGGGUAAAAGCCUACCAAGGCGACGAUCCAUAGCUGGUCUGAGAGGAUGAUCAGCCACACUGGGACUGUGACACGGCCCAGACUCCUACGGGAGGCAGCAGUGGGGAAUAUUGGACAAUGGGCGAAAGCCUGAUCCAGCAAUGCCGCGUGAGUGAUGAAGGCCUUAGGGUUGUAAAGCUCUUUUACCCGGGAUGAUAAUGACAGUACCGGGAGAAUAAGCGCCGGCUAACUCCGUG
rnacentral:rRNA from 1 species